UACAGAGGUCCCGAGCGUUGUUCGGAUUCACUGGGCGUAAAGGGUGCGUAGGUGGCUUGCAAAGUUUGAUGUGAAAGCUCAGGGCUUAACCCUGAAAUGGCAUUGAAUACUGUCGAGCUGGAGGUUUGGAGGGGGGACUGGAAUUCUUGGUGUAGCAGUGAAAUGCGUAGAUAUCAAGAGGAACACCAGUGGCGAAGGCGAGUCCCUGGACAACACCUGACACUGAGGCACGAAAGCUAGGGGAGCAAACAGG
rnacentral:rRNA from 1 species